UGUUUUCUGGAAGAUCACCAAAGGAUUAUAGUUUCCUCAGGAAGUCAGUGGUGUCUCGAAGAUAGCUGCUAGUGCUGGUAGCAUAGGGCAAUGCCCCUCUGCCAUGUACA